rfam:Acidithrix ferrooxidans strain Py-F3 AXFE_contig000089, whole genome shotgun sequence.
GAAGGAGAUUUUAGCUCCCUGGCCUUUCGAUAUCCAACUUACGAGAAAGGGAUAUCAAACCGGCACAAGCUGCGUUGGUAAAGAGCCUAAGGUGGCGAGCGUUUUGUUAAAAGGCGGAGAUACCUCCGUUGGGU